AGUGAACGCUGGCGGUAGGCCUAACACAUGCAAGUCGAACGGCAGCACAGUAAGAGCUUGCUCUUACGGGUGGCGAGUGGCGGACGGGUGAGGAAUACAUCGGAAUCUACUUUUUCGUGGGGGAUAACGUAGGGAAACUUACGCUAAUACCGCAUACGACCUACGGGUGAAAGCAGGGGAUCUUCGGACCUUGCGCGAUUGAAUGAGCCGAUGUCGGAUUAGCUAGUUGGCGGGGUAAAGGCCCACCAAGGCGACGAUCCGUAGCUGGUCUGAGAGGAUGAUCAGCCACACUGGAACUGAGACACGGUACAGACUCCUACGGGAGGCAGCAGUGGGGAAUAUUGGACAAUGGGCGCAAGACUGAUCCAGCCAUACCGCGUGGGUGAAGAAGGCCUUCGGGUUGUAAAGCCCUUUUGUUGUGAAAGAAAAGCAGCAGGUUAAUACCCCGCUGUUCUGACGGUACCCAAAGAAUAAGCACCGGCUAACUUCGUG
rnacentral:rRNA from 1 species